rnacentral:tRNA from 1 species
UUUUAGGAGGAUGAACCAUUUUUGGGUUAUGAGCCCAACAGCUUUUAAAAAUACUUAGCUUAUCCCAAA